GAGGAAUAUUGGUCAAUGGACGCAAGUCUGAACCAGCCACGUCGCGUGAAGGAAGAAGGCCUUAUGGUUGUAAAGCACUUUAAGCGAGGAGGAGGCUCUUUUGGUUAAUACCCAAGAUGAGUGGACGUUACUCGCAGAAUAAGCACCGGCUAACUCUGUGCCAGCAGCCGCGGUAAUACAGAGGGUGCGAGCGUUAAUCGGAUUUACUGGGCGUAAAGCGUGCGUAGGCGGCUUUUUAAGUCGGAUGUGAAAUCCCCGAGCUUAACUUGGGAAUUGCAUUCGAUACUGGGAAGCUAGAGUAUGGGAGAGGAUGGUAGAAUUCCAGGUGUAGCGGUGAAAUGCGUAGAGAUCUGGAGGAAUACCGAUGGCGAAGGCAGCCAUCUGGCCUAAUACUGACGCUGAGGUACGAAAGCAUGGGGAGCAAACA
rnacentral:rRNA from 1 species